rnacentral:lncRNA from 1 species
GUACAUGAAUAUUUCUUUGUAAAAUUUGGUGAAAAAUCAAAAUUUGUAAAUAAAAAAUUAAAAGAAAUAUUAGAAAAAAAGGGGAAAAAAUUCAUCCAUUGCAGCCCAUCCCCCAUCCCCCUGCUCCUUUCUCCCUUCCCUCCCCCUCGAUUCUAACCACCCUAGCCUGCUAGCCAACCCUUCCACCACGACCAUCCCACCCCACACCCACCUAAAACCCAACCUAGAUCAAAUUCAAUUUUGUGUAUGUCAGUCCAGUUAAAAGAAGAAGAAAAAAAACUCAUAUAUGGAACUUGAGUUUCGUGGAUGUCAAAGAGAGAGAAAGAGAAGGGUUGGGUGGUGGGAGAAGAGGUAGAGGGAGGGUGCUGGAUCAUGGAUGUGAGGUUGUUGGCUGUCGCAUAGAGAGAGAGGGAGAUGAGAGAUAAAAAGGAGAAGAAGGGAGAAGGGUGAAACUGAAGCUCAAUUGCGGGUUGUGAUUUUUCUUAUGGGUAAUUUUAACCCGAUUGUAACAAAAUUACAAUUUUGAACUGAACCGUUCAUUUUAAUUGAACGGUUGUUAACAUCUCGCAAAUAAGCUCCGCAUAUUAACCUCCGCAUUCUAGCAGCUCCCCUUAAGUUGGGCAUUUGGGCCCAAACCGAGAACCAAGUGAUGACACGACUAAGUCAUUGGUUGACUUGGCAAAAGGAUUUUUUGGACUAGUGAUUGAGGGGGAAGCCACCAGGUCAUGUCAGACAUGACAUGCAAAAGCUUUUUGGGCGGUGAGAUAUCGAGAGACAAGCUUACUUGGGCGGCAACUUCCCUCUAUAAGAGCAACUCCACCCCUUAGGGCAAAGUCUAAGGCAAGGGCAAGCAAGGGCUGACACUAUUCACGUGAAUAGUAUCAGCCUUGCCAUUUGUGGUUCCACCCACAAGGGCAAAGUCUAGGGCAAGUCUAGGGCAAUUACUAUUCAUUGUACUUUAUUUUCUAUUUUUUUAAUACUUUAAAUCAUUAAUUUUGAUAAUCUUUUGUAAUUAAAUUUUCGGAUAAGAUUUUCGGAUGUGAAUCUCGGUUGCCAC